GAUGAACGCUGGCGGCGUGCCUAAUUCAUGCAAGUCGAGCGAACGGACGAGAAGCUUGCUUCUCUGAUGUUAGCGGCGGACGGGUGAGUAACACGUGGAUAACCUACCUAUAAGACUGGGAUAACUUCGGGAAACCGGAGCUAAUACCGGAUGAUAUUUUGAACCGCAUGGUUCAAAAGUGAAAGACGGUCUUGCUGUCACUUAUAGAUGGAUCCGCGCUGCAUUAGCUAGUUGGUAAGGUAACGGCUUACCAAGGCAACGAUGCAUAGCCGACCUGAGAGGGUGAUCGGCCACACUGGAACUGAGACACGGUCCAGACUCCUACGGGAGGCAGCAGUAGGGAAUCUUCCGCAAUGGGCGAAAGCCUGACGGAGCAACGCCGCGUGAGUGAUGAAGGUCUUCGGAUCGUAAAACUCUGUUAUUAGGGAAGAACAUAUGUGUAAGUAACUGUGCACAUCUUGACGGUACCUAAUCAGAAAGCCACGGCUAACUACGUG
rnacentral:rRNA from 1 species